rnacentral:misc_RNA from 1 species
CUGUUUUAAAUUUCAUUUAAUUCUAAGCCUUCUUAGUUGACCUAUUGAAAUUGAAAGUAAGGAAGAGAAAACCAAGAAAGAAUGAAGGACAAAUCAUCAUCAAUAAUACUCAGAGANNNNNNNNNAAUAUCAGCAAGCAAGCAGCUAACUACUGCAUCAAAGUCAAAACCCCUAGAUACUGGAAACAAAGUCCCCCCCAAAAAAAAAAAAAAAUUUAAUCACCAUCGUUGGCAUCCAUAGUAGAAGCAAC